AUGCUCUUCCUCCUCCUGGUCGUGCUGUACGCGUUGUCCAGGGCCGCGCGCCUCCUCGGCCACCCUACGCCGCCCAUCCCCGACCUGCAGCCGGUGGCCGACGAGCUCGACGCCCUCAUCCGCUCCGUCCUAGCCGGCAUCUCCUCCGCCUUCCGCCGCGUCGCGCAGGGCCAGCUCGGCUCCGGGUGCGUCUUCGCCUGA
rnacentral:rRNA from 1 species